AUGGCUGCCAACCCAACAAACCCUUCUCAAAACACAUCCCAAUUCAUCAAAUUAUCUGAAACCAAUUAUCUUAAAUGGACUCGUCAAAUUCGUUCAUACCUCAAUGGUGCAGGCCUUUGGGGCUAUGUUGACGGCUCCAUCCCUGCGCCCUCCCUCACCACCGAGACCACUGCAACUGAAACUGUUCCAGCCAAGACCAUUCCCAAUCCCGAGUAUGUCAAAUGGUUCACCACAGAUCAACAGAUCUUCAAUAUCAUGAUUACCUCGUUGACCGACAGCGUUUCUGAUCUUACUGUUGGUUAUGACACCUCUAAAGAGGGUUUUGUUUCGUUUCUGGCACUCUUGCUGCUCUUCUACAGGCACAGAUCCCAGUUCACCGGCAAGUCGGCAACAACCUGCCCCCGGGUAACGUCGGCUACCCUGUGAUCGGAGAGAGACCUACGAGUUCUUCUCUUCGGGUCAGAAAGGCCACCCCGAGAAGUUCAUCUUAGACAGGGUGAGCAUGCAUGCACUCCUCCCAAGUCUUCAAGACCUCCUUGAUCGGGGAGAGAACUGCCUUCUCCAAUGAGAACAAGCUUGUCCGAGCCUGGUUUCCCAUCUGUGUCAACAAGAUCUUCCCUUCUUCUACCGAAACCUCCGCCGCAGAGGAGUCCAACAAGGCAACAAGAUGAAAAGGAUGCUACCCAAUUUCUUGAAGCUCGACGCUCUGCAACGGUACUUCGGAGUCAUUAACCAGUGCACCCAAUCUCACUUUGCAGAUAGCUGGGAAAACCAAAACCAAGUUCAUGCCUUUGAACUCGCUCAGAACCACACCUUCAAGCUUGCUGCACGCUUGUUCGUUAGCCCUGAAGAUCAAGCAGACGUCGAAAAACUCAGGAAACCGUUCAGUUUAGUGAAUGCCGCACCGGAACCAUAUCGUUGCCCAUCGACUUGCCAGGAACUCCGCUUAAUAAAGCCAUCGGGGCCGUCAACUUGAUCAGGAAGGAUUUGUACAAGAUGAUCAAGCAGAGGAAGGUCGACGUAGCAGAGGGCAAUGCAUCCCCCACACAGGACAUGUUAUCACAAAUGCUCUUGACCUGGGAUGAAGAUGGAUCAUAUCAGAAGGAAUCCGAAAUCGCCGUUAAGAUUCUUGGUAUGUUGGUUACUGGAUUCGACACAGUUAGUGCUGCACUGACUUUUAUUGUCAAGUAUCUUGCCGACUUUCCUCGUAUCUAUGACGCAGUUUACAAAGAGCAAACGGAGAUUGUAAAUUCAAAAACCAUUGGGAAGCCGUUGAAAUGGGAAGACCUUCAGAAGAUGAAAUACUCGUGGAAUGUAGCUCAAGAAGUGACAAGGAUGACACCACCUGUUCAAGGAAACUUCAGGGAAGCUUUAACAGAUUUUGUUUACCAUGGUUUCACCAUUCCAAAAGGGUGGAAGUUGUUUUUUGGAGUGCAAACUGGACACACAAGAGCGCCGAUUGUUUCCCUGAGCCGGAGAAGUUUGACUCGUCAAGAUUCGAAGGAAAGGGACCAGCACCUUACACAUUUGUUCCAUUUGGUGGAGGACCUAGAAUGUGUCCAGGGAAUCAGUACGCUCGGGUAGUGAUAUUUGUGUUCAUGCACCAGUUGGUCACAAGGUUCAAGUGGGAGAAGUUUAUUCCUGACGAGAAACCAUUGUUGUUGCCCUCCGCCAAGGGACUUCCCAUCCGCCUCUUUCAUCACCAAAAGAUGUAACUGAUCCACAUCGUUUGUUCUUUUCCACAAUCAAAUCAAUUUUAUCAGGGAACUUUUGAUAGCGACAACAAAGCGGGAUCUACUAUAUCCUUACACAAUAAACAAGCUAUCAAUUCCAUAGUCCUUGCAUCUGCAGAGAAACCGCACUCCCCCAUUUCUUGAAUAAGUAUCACAGCCCUUGAUGCCUCAUUGUUGUUUAACAACCCUCUGAUAAUGAUGUUAUAGGUCCAAACAUCCGGAGAGCAGCCUUUCUCUCCCAUUCCUCUCAGCAACUUUUCUGCUUCACUUAAUAAGCCCCUUUUACAAAAUCCAUGCAUCAUUAUAUUGUAUGUCCUCACAUCAGGCUUGACUCCUUUUGAUGACAAACCAGAGAAGAGAUCCAUUGCAGAAUCCAA